rnacentral:rRNA from 1 species
AAUUCGAUUGAGUUUGAUCAUGGCUCAGGAUGAACGCUGGCGGCGUGCCUCAUGCAUGCAAGUCGAACGGGAAUCUUUUUGGUAGCAAUACUAGAGAGAUUCUAGUGGCGAUCGGGUGAGUAACACGUAGGUGACCUACCUCGAAGCGGGGGAUAACGGUCCGAAAGGACUGCUAAUACCCCAUGUGAUGAGCGAUUCAUUUCGCUUCUGAAAGGUUCCGAAAGGUUCCGCUUCGGGAGGGGCCUGCGGCCCAUCAGGUAGUUGGUGGGGUAAUGGCCUACCAAGCCAAUGACGGGUAGCUAGUCUGAGAGGACGAUUAGCCACACUGGCACUGACACACGGGCCAGACUCCUACGGGAGGCAGCAGCAGGGAAUAUUGCACAAUGGGCGAAAGCCUGAUGCGGCAACGCCGCGUGAGGGAUGAAGGUCUUCGGAUCGUAAACCUCUUUUCUGAGGGAAGAGCAAGGACGGUACCUCAGGAAUAAGCAACGGCUAACUACGUGCCAGCAGCCGCGGUAAUACGUAGGUUGCGAGCGUUAUCCGGAUUUACUGGGCGUAAAGCGCACCGAGGUGGCUUCUUAAGUCGGAUGUAAAAUCUCCUGGCUCAACUGGGAGGCGCCAUUCGAUACUGAGGAGCUUGAGUUCAGCAGGGGAAAGUGGAAUUCCCGGUGUAGUGGUGGAAUGCGUAGAGAUCGGGAGGAACACCAGUGGCGAAAGCGGCUUUCUGGGCUGCAACUGACACUCUAGUGCGAAAGCGUGGGGAGCAAACAGGAUUAGAUACCCUGG